rnacentral:lncRNA from 1 species
UAUGAUGAAUGUGUAUCAAUUGAUGAUUCUGCCCCCUAAUACACGGCUAAACAGCCCUUUAAAUACAAAAUACAAUGGAGACAAAUCCCACUCUUGUAGGAUUUAUAUUUAACUUAGGAUUCUAAUAUUAUCCUAACUAGUAGGAUUUAUAUUUAACUUAGGAUUCUAACAUUAUCUCUAAUGUUAUCUUCAAUACCCCCC